UACGAAGGGGGCUAGCGUUGUUCGGAUUUACUGGGCGUAAAGCGUGCGCAGGCGGUCUUUUAAGUCAGAUGUGAAAUGCCCGGGCUUAACCUGGGAACUGCAUUUGUGACUGCAUGGCUAGAGUGUGUCAGAGGGGGGUAGAAUUCCACGUGUAGCAGUGAAAUGCGUAGAUAUGUGGAGGAAUACCGGUGGCGAAGGCAGCCCCCUGGGCUAACACUGACGCUCAUGCACGAAAGCGUGGGGAGCAAACAGG
rnacentral:rRNA from 1 species